AACGAACGCUGGCGGCAGGCUUAACACAUGCAAGUCGAGCGCCCCGCAAGGGGAGCGGCAGACGGGUGAGUAACACGUGGGAACCUACCCUUUUCUGCGGGAUAGUUCUGGGAAACUGUAAUUAAUACCGCAUACGCCCUACGGGGGGCAAGAUUUAUCGGAGAAGGAUGGGCCCGCGUUGGAUUAGCUAGUUGGUGGGGUAAUGGCCUACCAAGGCGACGAUCCAUAGCUGGUCUGAGAGGAUGAUCAGCCACAUUGGGACUGAGACACGGCCCAAACUCCUACGGGAGGCAGCAGUGGGGAAUAUUGGACAAUGGGGGCAACCCUGAUCCAGCCAUGCCGCGUGAGUGAUGAAGGCCUUAGGGUUGUAAAGCUCUUUCACCGGUGAAGAUAAUGACGGUAACCGGAGAAGAAGCCCCGGCUAACUUCGUGCCAGCAGCCGCCGUAAGAC
rnacentral:rRNA from 1 species